UACGGAGGGCGCUAGCGUUGUUCGGAUAUACUGGGCGUAAAGCGCACGUAGUCGGCUUUGCAAGUCGGUUGUGAAAUCCCCGGGCUCAACCUGGGAACUGCAUCCGAGACUGCAUUGCUAGAGUAUGGGAGAGGGAAGCGGAAUUUCUGGUGUAGCAGUGAAAUGCGUAGAUAUCAGAAGGAACAUCAGUGGCGAAGGCGGCUUCCUGGACCAAUACUGACGAUCAGGUGCGAAAGCGUGGGGAGCAAACAGG
rnacentral:rRNA from 1 species